UACGGAGGGGGCUAGCGUUGCUCGGAAUGACUGGGCGUAAAGGGCGCGUAGGCGGCUGUUUCAGUCAGAUGUGAAAUUCCUGGGCUCAACCUGGUGGCUGCAUUUGAUACGUGAUGGCUGGAGUGGGGAAGAGGGACGUGGAAUUCCCAGUGUAGAGGUGAAAUUCGUAGAUAUUGGGAAGAACACCAAUGGCGAAGGCAGCUCGCUGGGACGGUACUGACGCUGAGACGCGAAAGCGUGGGGAGCAAACAGG
rnacentral:rRNA from 1 species